rnacentral:lncRNA from 1 species
UUACAUUUUUAAAUAUUUUUCUAUUCAAUUUAUUUUUAAGCAAAGAGCAUACAUAUAUAUACGUCACAAAAAAAAAAUUACAAAAUUAGAAAGAAAAAUAAAAUAAGACCAUAAUAAGGGCUGGCUGAUUUUAUGAAUCUACCCAAUCUAAAACAAAAACAAAAAAAACAAAAAAAAAAUAAAAAAAAAUAAUAAAAAAGAAGAAAAGAGAGAAAAAGAAACAGGCGGAAGAAACAAGAAAAUGGGGACGAAGAAGAUGAGUUUUAUAACACGCCGCCGACCAUCAACCCCUUGGUGACCCAACUCAACGCCUCAAUUCAAGAUCCUGAAAACUCAUAUCUCCUUACUUUCUACAAUAAUGUAAAAAUACUUGAGUUUCUGAAACCGUAACAAAUCAAAUCCCCAACCAAAAUUCUCUAAAUAUAACCACAAGGAACAGAGAAUUAUCAAUAUUCUUCUCAAAAUUGAGGAUUUCAAAGAAGAAUCAAAAUCCUAGGAAUCAGAGAUGCCGCCACAGAAGACGGAAAAACGCGAACAAUGGGUUCUGAGAUGAAAUCCCUGGGCUUUUUUUUUUUUCUUUUUUUAUAUAAUUUUCUGGGAAUUUUUUCAAAAUAUUGUGGGGAAUUCUUGAUUUUUUUCCCCGAGGUUUAUCGGCUUAACCCUAAAUCAUAAACCAGAGGGAGAAAAAAUUAUGUGUGUU